UCCCUGGUGGUCCAGUAGUUAGGACUCUGCACUAUCAGUGCUGAGGACCCAGGUUCGAUCCCUGGUCGGGGAG